AACGAACGCUGGCGGUAUGCUUAACACAUGCAAGUCGAACGAACUUUACUAGGAGCUUGCUCUUGGUAAAGUGAGUGGCAAACGGGUGCGUAACACGUGGGAAUCUGCCCAUCAGUACGGAAUAACUUCUGGAAACAGAAGCUAAUACCGUAUAUUCUCUUCGGAGGAAAGAUUUAUCGCUGAUGGAUGAGCCCGCGUCAGAUUAGGUAGUUGGUGGGGUAAUGGCCUACCAAGCCGACGAUCUGUAGCUGGUCUGAGAGGAUGAUCAGCCACACUGGGACUGAGACACGGCCCAGACUCCUACGGGAGGCAGCAGUGGGGAAUAUUGGACAAUAGGCGAAAGCCUGAUCCAGCGACGUCGCGUGAAUGAUGAAGGCCUUAGGGUUGUAAAAUUCUUUUAGUGGAGAAGAUAAUGACGGUAUCCACAGAAAAAGUCCCGGCUAACUUCGUGCCAGCCGCCGCCGUAA
rnacentral:rRNA from 1 species